CUCCCAGUCAGCCAGGCACAGGGCCCCAGCAAGCCACGGGCAUGGUCACUCUCUCUGCAAGGGAUUCUCCCAGAUCUCCUGCAGUCGCUCCACAGGAAACUAACACGCCCUCUAGACAUCUGCAGAUUGCGUGAAGCGGAGACCAUUUCCUGCCCCAUCUGUGGCCCACAGUGCUUGGGAGCAGCAGGGCCCCAGGAGGAGGAGGAGGAUACUCACACCCUGCAGCCGGUCGGGAUGUUCAGCUGCACUGCUGGGAAGAGAAUAAUCUGCACCUCAUGGCCUGGGUAUGGAAACAGUGUGAAGCGAGAUAUCUGCACACCUCCCCUGGGGCAGGCAGAAACGAGGAGCUACCUGGAGCCAGUGCACCACUCCUGAGCUGGAGGCUGGAAAACAACUCAAGUUCAAGGGCUUAAGGAAUCUGAGGGAAUAAAGGCUUCCUGAGAGGGACUGUUAGGGAAAUAGCUCCUCAACCA
rnacentral:lncRNA from 1 species